UACGGAGGAUGCAAGCGUUAUCCGGAAUGAUUGGGCGUAAAGCGUCCGCAGGUGGCUAUGUAAGUCUGCUGUUAAAGAGUGAGGCUCAACCUCAUAAGAGCAGUGGAAACUACAUGGCUAGAGUGCGUUCGGGGCAGAGGGAAUUCCUGGUGUAGCGGUGAAAUGCGUAGGUAUCAGGAAGAACACCGGUGGCGAAAGCGCUCUGCUAGGCCGCAACUGACACUGAGGGACGAAAGCUAGGGGAGCGAAUGGG
rnacentral:rRNA from 1 species